CCGAGUUUACAAUUCCCAAACCCCUGUGAACAUACCACUUGUUGCCUCGGCGGAUCAGCCCGCUCCCGGUAAAACGGGACGGCCCGCCAGAGGACCCCUAAACUCUGUUUCUAUAUGUAACUUCUGAGUAAAACCAUAAAUAAAUCA
rnacentral:misc_RNA from 1 species